GAUGAACGCUGGCGGCGUGCCUAAUACAUGCAAGUCGAGCGAACGGACGAGAAGCUUGCUUUUCUGAUGUUAGCGGCGGACGGGUGAGUAACACGUGGAUAACCUACCUAUAAGACUGGGAUAACUUCGGGAAACCGGAGCUAAUACCGGAUAAUAUUUUGAACCGCAUGGUUCAAAAGUGAAAGACGGUCUUGCUGUCACUUAUAGAUGGAUCCGCGCUGCAUUAGCUAGUUGGUAAGGUAACGGCUUACCAAGGCAACGAUGCAUAGCCGACCUGAGAGGGUGAUCGGCCACCCUGGAACUGAGACACGGUCCCGACUCCUACGGGAGGCAGCAGUAGGGAAUCUUCCGCAAUGGGCGAAAGCCUGACGGAGCAACGCCGCGUGAGUGAUGAAGGUCUUCGGAUCGUAAAACUCUGUUAUUAGGGAAGAACAUAUGUGUAAGUAACUGUGCACAUCUUGACGGUACCUAAUCAGAAAGCCACGGCUAACUACGUG
rnacentral:rRNA from 1 species